rnacentral:rRNA from 1 species
AGCGGCGGACGGGUGAGUAACGCGUGGGUAGCCUGCCCUGUACACACGGAUAACAUACCGAAAGGUAUGCUAAUACGAGAUAAUAUGCUUUUAUCGCAUGGUAGAAGUAUCAAAGCUCCGGCGGUACAGGAUGGACCCGCGUCUGAUUAGCUAGUUGAUAAGGUAACGGCUUACCAAGGCGACGAUCAGUAGCCGACCUGAGAGGGUGAUCGGCCACAUUGGAACUGAGACACGGUCCAAACUCCUACGGGAGGCAGCAGUGGGGAAUAUUGCACAAUGGGCGAAAGCCUGAUGCAGCAACGCCGCGUGAGCGAUGAAGGCCUUCGGGUCGUAAAGCUCUGUCCUCAAGGAAGAUAAUGACGGUACUUGAGGAGGAAGCCCCGGCUAACUACGUGCCAGCAGCCGCGGUAAUACGUAGGGGGCCAGCGUUAUCCGGAAUUACUGGGCGUAAGGGUGCGUAGGUGGUUUCUUAAGUCAGAGGUGAAAGGCUACGGCUCAACCGUAGUAAGCCUUUGAAACUGGGAAACUUGAGUGCAGGAGAGGAGAGUGGAAUUCCUAGUGUAGCGGUGAAAUGCGUAGAUAUUAGGAGGAACACCAGUUGCGAAGGCGGCUCUCUGGACUGUAACUGACACUGAGGCACGAAAGCGUGGGGAGCAAACAGGAUUAGAUACCCUGGUAGUCCACGCCGUAAACGAUGAGUACUAGCUGU